rnacentral:rRNA from 1 species
ACGGAAGGCAGCAGUGGGGAAUAUUGCACAAUGGGGGAAACCCUGAUGCGGCAACGCCGCGUGAGUGAAGAAGUAUUUCGGUAUGUAAAGCUCUAUCAGCAGGGAAGAUAAUGACGGUACCUGACUAAGAAGCACCGGCUAAAUACGUGCCAGCAGCCGCGGUAAUACGUAUGGUGCAAGCGUUAUCCGGAUUUACUGGGUGUAAAGGGUGCGUAGGUGGCAUGGUAAGUCAGAUGUGAAAUACCGGGGCUCAACCCCGGGGCUGCAUUUGAAACUGCCAGGCUGGAGUACAGGAGAGGCAAGCGGAAUUCCUAGUGUAGCGGUGAAAUGCGUAGAUAUUAGGAGGAACACCAGUGGCGAAGGCGGCUUGCUGGGCUGUUACUGACACUGAGGCACGAAAGCGUGGGGAGCAAACAGGAUUAGAUACCCUGGUA